rnacentral:lncRNA from 1 species
GAAAAUUUGUUGUUGAUAUGGGGAAUUGAGGGGAGGGGAAUCGAUGCAUUCCUUGGUGACGGGCAUGGACUGAUGGAGGUUGGCAGCAUCCGGUCCGGCCAUGGAAGGAGGUUUUGGUGAAUGGCGAUCAUCUGAUAAUGCUUGAUAGAGAAACGCAUGAAUGAGUAAGGAUUUGCCAGUCACAGCCCACUAAAUAAAGUUCCUAAUCUUUAAAAAAAAAAGAAGCAUGGGCUUCAGCUUAGUCAUCCCGAG